rnacentral:rRNA from 1 species
UACAGAGGCCCCAAGCGUUAUUGAGAAUCACUGGGCUUAAAGGGUGCGUAGGUGGCGCGUUAAGUCCGUUGUGAAAUCCCUUGGCUCAACCAAGGAAUGGCUUCGGAUACUGGCGUGCUUGAGGCCGGUAAGGGUCACUGGAACUGACGGUGGAGCGGUGAAAUGCGUAGAUAUCGUCAGGAACGCCAAUGGUGAAGACAGGUGACUGGGCCGGUACUGACACUGAGGCACGAAAGCGUGGGGAGCGAACGGG